GUGGCGGUAGUUCAGUGGUGGAGCCUCCGCUUCAUACGUGGGAAGACCCGGGUUCGAUUCCCGGCUGCUUUC
rfam:Toxocara canis scaffold2173, whole genome shotgun sequence.